AUUGAUAAAUAAACAAAUCCUGUUGCUGCUCACCAAGAGGACUGCUUAACAGAUUUACCCAUGUGAGAGGUGGCUCGCUUACAAGUUAAUGCCCACGCACCCAAAGGGCCAGCUCCUGCAUUUUUUCACUUCACCGAUGCCAAAGCCACUUUGCCCACCUUUGCAGCAGACGCAGGGAAUUAACUAUCUCAAGAAGUGGCCCUUAGUUAUUAACUGAUGGCAGCUGGUCCCAGGGUAUCCAAGAAGCUGUCAUCCAGGUCUUCUCCAAUGAAGCUACAACAACCCACAGAGCCAGCAGGGGAACCUACACCUUCGAUGUCAUAUAUGAGCAAACAGUCAUUAGAUGGGCGUCCUUCAUCUUCAUCUGCAUGGACUUAUUUAUAAUUGUGUACUUUGGACAUAAAACCAUACACAAAAAAAUCACAUGAAUUGGUUUCGAGGAGGAGCCAAGAUGGCCGAAUAGGAACAGCUC
rnacentral:lncRNA from 1 species